UAUGUACUCCCUCCAUCCAACAAAAGAUGUCUCAAUUUUGACUAAAUUUGAAUGCAUCUAUACACUAAGUCAUGUCUACAUACAUCCAAAUUUUGACAAACUUGAGACAUCUUUUGUUGGACAGAGGGGGUACCUU
rnacentral:pre_miRNA from 1 species